GUAAUCACUUGUCUUCUAAAUAAAGACUUGUAUGAACGGCUAAAUGAGGACAAGCCUGUCUCCUAUGACCAAUCAGUGAAACUGAUCUUCCAGUACAAAAGCUGGAAUAAGCCCAUAAGACGAGAAGACCCUGUGGAGCUUAAAACCAACUACUAACGACUUCAUCUAGUACAAGGUUUUGAGUUGGGGCGACUUUGGAACAAAACAAAACUUCCAAGCACAGAGGCACCCCCUCUAUUUAAGGCUAACAAGCCAAAAAUACCAAAAAUGACCCAGUAAAACUGAUCAACGAACCAAGUUACCCCAGGGAUAACAGCGCCAUCUUCUUCAAGAGUCCAUAUCGACAAGAAGGUUUACGACCUCGAUGUUGGAUCAGGACACCCAAAUGGUGCAGCCGCUAUUAAAGGUUCGUUUGUUCAACGAUUAACAGU
rnacentral:rRNA from 1 species